GAUGAAGAACGUAGCGAAAUGCGAUAAGUAAUGUGAAUUGCAGAAUUCCGUGAAUCAUCGAAUCUUUGAACGCACAUUGCGCCCCCUGGUAUUCCGGGGGGCAUGCCUGUCCGAGCGUCAUUGCAACCCUCAAGCGCGGCUUGUGUGUUGGGCUUCGUCCCCCCGUGGACGUGCCCGAAAGGCAGUGGCGGCGUCCCGAAUGGUGCCCGAGCGUAUGGGAACUCACUUCCGCUCGAACCGGCCCAUUCGGCGCUGGUCGAACCCCAAUUUUUUUUUACCGGUUGACCUCGGAUCAGGUAGGGAUACCCGCUGAACUUAAGCAUAUCAAUAAGCGGAGGA
rnacentral:misc_RNA from 1 species